rnacentral:rRNA from 1 species
CAGACUAGAGUGCGGUAGGGGAGACUGGAAUUCCUGGUGUAGCGGUGGAAUGCGCAGAUAUCAGGAGGAACACCGAUGGCGAAGGCAGGUCNNUGGGCCGCAACUGACGCUGAGGAGCGAAAGCAUGGGGAGCGAACAGGAUUAGAUACCCUGGUAGUCCAUGCCGUAAACGUUGGGCACUAGGUGUGGGGCUCAUUCCACGAGUUCCGUGCCGCAGCAAACGCAUUAAGUGCCCCGCCUGGGGAGUACGGCCGCAAGGCUAAAACUCAAAGGAAUUGACGGGGGCCCGCACAAGCGGCGGAGCAUGCGGAUUAAUUCGAUGCAACGCGAAGAACCUUACCAAGGCUUGACAUGCACGAGAAGCCACCAGAGAUGGUGGUCUCUUUGGACACUCGUGCACAGGUGGUGCAUGGUUGUCGUCAGCUCGUGUCGUGAGAUGUUGGGUUAAGUCCCGCAACGAGCGCAACCCUCGUCCCAUGUUGCCAGCGGGUUAUGCCGGGGACUCAUGGGAGACUGCCGGGGUCAACUCGGAGGAAGGUGGGGAUGACGUCAAAUCAUCAUGCCCCUUAUGUCUUGGGCUUCACGCAUGCUACAAUGGCCGGUACAAAGGGCUGCGAUACCGUAAGGUGGAGCGAAUCCCAAAAAGCCGGUCUCAGUUCGGAUUGGGGUCUGCAACUCGACCCCAUGAAGUCGGAGUCGCUAGUAAUCGCAGAUC